GACCAGAUGGCGAAGUGGUUAACGCUGCGGUUUGCAAAACCGCCACGCGCGGGUUCGACUCCCGCUCUGGUCU
rnacentral:tRNA from 1 species